rnacentral:misc_RNA from 1 species
AAGUCGUAACAAGGUUUCCGUAGGUGAACCUGCGGAAGGAUCAUUACCGAGUUAGGGUCGCUCCCAUGCGCCCGACCUCCAACCCUUUGCUUACUUGACCUUUUGUUGCUUCGGCAGGCCCGUCUUCGUGGCCGCCGGGGGUCCCUCCCGACUCCUGGUCAGCGCCUGCCGACAGCCCCCUUCAAAAAUCUUUGCUUAAACGUGUCGUCUAAGUAUUGUUAAAAACAAAAUAAACAAAAACUUUCAACAACGGAUCUCUUGGUUCUGGCAUCGAUGAACGCAGC